rnacentral:tRNA from 2 species
GGCCAGGUAGCUCAGUUGGUAGAGCAGCGGACUGAAAAUCCGCGUGUCGGGGGUUCAACUCCCUCCCUGGCCACCA